rnacentral:rRNA from 1 species
UACGAAGGGUGCAAGCGUUACUCGGAAUUACUGGGCGUAAAGCGUGCGUAGGUGGUUUGUUAAGUCCGAUGUGAAAGCCCUGGGCUCAACCUGGGAACUGCAUUGGAUACUGGCAGGCUAGAGUGCGGUAGAGGGGUGCGGAAUUCCCGGUGUAGCAGUGAAAUGCGUAGAUAUCGGGAGGAACAUCCGUGGCGAAGGCGGCACCCUGGACCAGCACUGACACUGAGGCACGAAAGCGUGGGGAGCAAACAGGAUUAGAAACCCCAGUAGUCC